rnacentral:rRNA from 1 species
GGGGGGGGGGGGGGGGGGGCCGGGGGCGGGCGGGUGGGGGGGGGGCGCGGGUGCGGGCGCCGGGGGGCGAGUGGCGGACGGGUGAGGAAUGCGUCGGAACAUGUCCUGUGGUGGGGGGUGGACCGGCGCAAGCCGGAUUAAUACCGCAUACGAGCCACGGAUCAAAGAGGAGGGCCGUCGGGCCUGGCGCUGUAGUGGUGGCCGAGGGCUGAUUAGAUAGUUGGUGGGGUAAAGGCCUACCCAGGCGACGAUCAGUACCUGGUCUGAGAGGACGACCAGCCACCCGGGGACUUAGCCACCGCCCAGACUCCUACGGGAGGCCGCAGUGGGGAAUUUUGGACAAUGGGCGAAAGCCUGAUCCAGCAAUGCCGCGUGUGUGAAGAAGGCCUUCGGGUUGUAAAGCACUUUUGUCCGGAAAGAAAUCCUUGACUCUAAUACAGUCGGGGGAUGACGGUACCGGAAGAAUAAGCACCGGCUAACUACGUG